AUUGAACGCUGGCGGCAUGCCUUACACAUGCAAGUCGAACGGUAACGGGCCUUCGGGUGCCGACGAGUGGCGAACGGGUGAGUAAUGCAUCGGAACGUACCUUUCAGUGGGGGAUAACGUAGCGAAAGUUACGCUAAUACCGCAUAUUCUGUGAGCAGGAAAGCAGGGGAUCGCAAGACCUUGCGCUGAUUGAGCGGCCGAUGUCAGAUUAGCUAGUUGGUGAGGUAAAGGCUCACCAAGGCGACGAUCUGUAGCGGGUCUGAGAGGAUGAUCCGCCACACUGGAACUGAGACACGGUCCAGACUCCUACGGGAGGCAGCAGUGGGGAAUAUUGCGCAAUGGGCGAAAGCCUGACGCAGCGACGCCGCGUGAGGGACGAAGGUCUUCGGAUUGUAAACCUCUUUCAGCAGGGACGAAGCGAAAGUGACUGUACCUGCAGAAGAAGCACCGGCUAACUACGUGCCAGCA
rnacentral:rRNA from 1 species